rfam:Jatropha curcas cultivar GZQX0401 scaffold300_94, whole genome shotgun sequence.
AAGUUAUGGUGCAAACAUUUCCUCAACAGGUCUUUGAAUCUCUCCCAAGCUUCUUGCAAACUCUCUUGAUCAUGGAGAGCAAAAUUCAUUAUCUCAUUACGAAGCUU